UAAGUCGUAGUUUCUAAACAGAAAUAUAUUUUUUGGACUGUAACUGUCAUAAAACCGAUUUCUUUAUUUCUGAUGACAUAUUCGUAAGCUAUUCAACCAAUUUCAACGAAAUGCAAAAGCGUUUUAGUAAGUGUAAAACAAAAAAUAAGUUAUGAGGUGGAUUGGCAAAAAAUCAGCAAAAGUCAAGUUUAUUUAAGUAGGUGCUGUGGUCAGGGGCGUACGUUAAGUUGCCGGGGCCCCGGGGCAAGACUACAUUCUGGGACUCUUUUGAUAUUUGGUGGCCCCUUUGAUAUAGAAAAGAGGAAAUAAAAAACGACCAACAACUUUACCGCGACCGAUGGGUUGCGUCACUGCCAAAAUUGCAUGUUAUUCGAUUAUCAGCAUGACCAAAGUGCACUGAUGUUCCUAAAAAGUACAACAAAAAAAUCAACAAACACGAAACAAGGACACAACCAUGUUCUGCCAAAAGUCGCGGAAAACACCAAAUUGCGAUUGUGACAUCGAAAUAAAAUAAAAUCACACUACUGUCGUUGGCGUUGGCGUAUAUAGCUGGAGGAAUAAGCUGUCUGAAGGAAAAAGAAAGGAUGAGCCUCAGCAGUUUUCGAAUCGUUAUAACAAAUAAAAUCAUCGUUCCUAGCAAUCAACACUUGGGCCUGAUACUUCUUCCAUGUUUCCGUCGCACAACCCUUUAGCUUUAUAUGGCAAUAUAGAUGAUUACUACGGAUUACUUUACCAAACAACCCUCUU